UACGUAGGGGGCUAGCGUUGUUCGGAAUUACUGGGCGUAAAGCGCGCGUAGGCGGCUAUCCAAGUUAGUGGUGAAAGCCCGGAGCUCAACUCCGGAACUGCCAUUGAAACUGUAUAGCUUGAGGAUGAGAGAGGUGAGUGGAAUUCCCAGUGUAGAGGUGAAAUUCGUAGAUAUUGGGAAGAACACCGGUGGCGAAGGCGGCUCACUGGCUCAUUACUGACGCUCAGGCGCGAUAGCGUGGGGAUCAAACAGG
rnacentral:rRNA from 1 species